UACGUAGGGUGCGAGCGUUGUCCGGAAUUACUGGGCGUAAAGAGCUCGUAGGUGGUUUGUCGCGUUGUCCGUGAAAACUCACAACUCAAUUGUGGGCGUGCGGGCGAUACGGGCUGACUGGAGUACUGCAGGGGAGACUGGAAUUCCUGGUGUAGCGGUGGAAUGCGCAGAUAUCAGGAGGAACACCGGUGGCGAAGGCGGGUCUCUGGGCAGUAACUGACGCUGAGGAGCGAAAGCGUGGGGAGCAAACAGG
rnacentral:rRNA from 1 species